UCAGACGAUGCGUCAUGCAUAUCAAUAAGCGGAGGAAAAGAAACUAACAAGGAUUCCCCUAGUAACGGCGAGUGAAGCGGGAAGAGCUCAAAUUUGAAAUCUUAAAGGGUUUCCCUUUACGAAUUGUAGUUUAAAGAAGUGUUUUCUGUUGAGGUUUUGGUAAAAGUUCUUUGGAAUAGGACAUCAUAGAGGGUGAGAAUCCGUAUUUGACCUUUACUUUCAACUUUGUGAUACACUUUCAAAGAGUCGGAUUGUUUGGGAAUGCAGUCCAAAAUGGGUGGUAAAUUUCAUCUAAAGCUAAAUAUUGGCGGAGAGACCGAUAGCGAACAAGUACCGUGAGGGAAAGAUGAAAAGAACUUUGAAAAGAGAGUUAAACAGUACGUGAAAUUGUCAAAAGGGAAGCGUCUGACACCAGUGUUGUUUUUCUGAAAAUCAAUUAAAGAACUGUUUAUGCUAAGUUGUUUAGACUUUAUCAGCUAACUGUUUAGUUUUGAGCUUUUCUUUAAUGCACUUUUCAGUUAACAAGUCAACAUCAAUUUCUUUUGCUGUAAAAAAGCUUGAGGAAGGUGGCUUGAGAUUCGUCUUAAGUGUUUAUAGCCUCUUGCCUAUGCAGUCGGAGAGAUUGAGGUCUGCAGCGUAGAUCCUUCGGGGCUAAAUGCAUUUGUGCUAAGUUAUAGCAUUUUAUAGACAACUUGUUGACUAUGAUUUGUCUUGUAGCUUACUCGCUUAUGUUAUUUUACCUACGCUUAGGAUGUUGAGCGCAUGUCUCUCUCU
rnacentral:rRNA from 1 species